CUUCCUAAUUCACCAUGAUCUCCAGCCACCAUCAUUUCCAUAAUAGCAAGAUGCAAUCAAGGUUGUUUUGUUCUUCCAAUUCACCAUGAUCUCCAGCCACCAUCAUUUCCAUAGUAGCAAGAUGCAGCCAAAGUUAUUUUGUUCUUCCUAAUUCACUAUGAUCUCCAGCCACCAUCAUUUCCAUAGUAGCAAGAUACAGCCACUAUCAUUUCUUUGUAGCAAGAUAUAGCCACCANNNNNNNNNNNNNNNNNNNNCCUCUCUUAUCUAUAUAAAGGGAGGCGACCUAUGUAUUCAAUUCAGAUUUCAAUGAAUGAAAAUGAGUGUUACUGAUUUCUCUUAUCUAACCCCUGUGUGUUAGUGGCGAGUUAUAAACCCUAGAACUUAUCACUCACAUUCUUCUUUUCUUGAGUGUGGCAUUCUACCCCUUUGUGAUCUGAUUGUGGUGAUUUUCUUAUCAAUCAGAUUCCAAGGUUUCUUUUUUUUUCUCUCUUUUUCUGUGCUCCAAUCUUUAUUCUUACCUACACAAGAUAGUUAUUUAGGCCUGGGCACAUCAGUUUGGUAUCAGAGCCUGAGGGAGUGUUUGACAUCCAAAUCAUGUCUGGAGGAGACGAGGCCCCUGUCAUUCUUAAAGGCAUGAGUCUGAAACAAGCUCAGAUUAUGGGGCUCCAACGGCGUCAAGAAGAGAUGAUGGAGCAACUCAAUCGCCUAACACAAGCGUUUGAGCGGUUGGCAACACUUCCCCCACCACCACAGCGGCAUGGCCAUCCAGCAUCACGACGAGUUGAUCGCAAUGAUGAAGAGGAGUAUGACGAACCCAGGGAUGAUGAUGGUGUGGAGAAACACCCAUGGCAAAGGCAGCAGCAAAGAAGUUUGGGAGACAAUAUUAAGAUGAGGAUCCCAUCCUUUAAAGGAACCAGCUCACCCGAAGAAUAUCUGGAAUGGGUGCAACAUGUGGAGAAGGUCUUUGAAUGUCCAGAUUAUUCUGAGGUAAAAAAAUGUAAACUUGCUGCCCUUGAAUUCACUGAUUAUGCUAAUCUUUGGUGGAAGAAUGUGAAAGCUCAGCGUAGGAGGGAUGGAGAAGAGAAAAUCCAGAACUGGAGGCUUAUGAAGCGGAUCAUGGAGAAGCGAUUUGUCCCUCAAUAUUAUAAGCAGGAGCUGUACAUCAAGUUACAAAGCUUGAGACAAGGGGGAAUGUGUGUUGAGGAUUAUGUCAAAGAAUUUGAGAUGCUGAUGAUGAGAUGCGAUUUGCGAGAACCUCAAGAACAGACCAUUGCAAGGUUCUUAGGAGGCUUGAAUAAGGAGAUUGCUGAUACGGUGGAGUUGCAAUCUUAUGUGUUCCUUGACGAUGUGAUCAAACUUGCUGUUAAGGUAGAGAGACAGCGCAAGUGUGGUGCAAGUAAGCCAAGUAAGACUACCAACUCAUCUUCCUUAUCACCAUGGUCCGUCCCUAAGGCAGUGCCAAAACAAGUAGAAAAAGGUGAUUCUAGCAAGCGAGUCACAGAUGCGGCCAAAGAAAAAGAGGUGGGGAAUUCACAACCUCCCAGACGAAGUCGAGAUNNNNNNNNNNNNNNNNNNNNGGUUUAUGGGUUUAAUCCUAUCACCCCACUUGAUUUGGCACCACUUUCAAUCAGCGAAAGAGUUUGUAUGGAUGGGAAGAAGAAAGCUGAGUUGGUUAAGUCCAUGCAUAAGAGCAUCAAGGAGCAAAUUGAGAGGAAGAAUGCGGCUUAUGAGAAGGCAGCCAACAGAGGAAGAAUACAAGUUCGCUUGGCUCCAGGUGAUCUUGUUUGGAUAUAUCUUCGCAAAGAACGAUUUCCAAACCAAAGAAAAUCUAAGCUCAUGCCGCGUGCUGAUGGUCCAUUCCGAGUUGUUGAGAAAGUGAAUGACAAUGCUUACAAGAUUGAAUUGCCUGGUGACUACAAUGUGUCCGCUACAUUCAAUGUUCGAGAUCUUUCUCCUUACUUGGAGGAUAGUUUGGAUGAUGAGGAAGACUUGGAUUUGAGGGCAAAUCCUACUCAAUAAGGGGGAAAUGAUGUGCACCAUCAUGAAGAAAGAGAUGAUCACAUGUCAUAUAUGGAUCCAAGAGCCAAAUUAAUGAUUUUGCUCACGUGCGUAGAAGCAUGAUGUGGUGCGAAUCAGAUUUGGCAGAAUUUGAAAGAAAUUAUUGCUUGAAAAAAGGGCCGAGUUUAGAAGCUUGUUUUGUUCUUCCUAAUUCACCAUGAUCUCCAGUCACCAUCAUUUCCAUAAUAGCAAGAUGCAAUCAAGGUUGUUUUGUUCUUCCUAAUUCACCAUGAUCUCCAGCCACCAUCAUUUCCAUAGUAGCAAGAUGCAGCCAAAGUUAUUUUGUUCUUCCUAAUUCACUAUGAUCUCCAGCCACCAUCAUUUCCAUAGUAGCAAGAUACGGCCACUAUCAUUUCCUUUGUAGCAAGAUAUAGCCCCCAUCAUUUCUAUGAUAGUCAAAUUCUGUUAUUUCCUUCCAUUUACUGAAUUUGUCUUAUGUUCCCUCUCUUAUCUAUAUAAAGGGAGGCGACCUAUGUAUUCAAUUCAGAUUUCAAUGAAUGA
rnacentral:lncRNA from 1 species